AAGGUAUUAAUAAACAAUGAACAUUGAUAAAUAUACAUAUAUCGAACUGUAAAUUCAAUUUUUCUGUACUUAUAACAGAUAUCGCAUUAUUAUAACUAUUUAUCUUAUAAGUUGUAAACAAUUAAUUUUUUUUAAAAUUAACUGCUUCAAACAAAUAUAUUUGCUUAUAUAAAUUUACUGUAGAUUAUUUUUAUAUUAUAUAUAUUAUAUAAAAUAUAUAAAAUAUGUGUAUUUUAUUUUUUUACUAGGAAUAGUAGAAUUUGCAAGAAAUUUGUACAAAGUAUUUCGUACUAAUUGUGAUGAAAUCAACACGCAAAACUUAAUGUAAUCCUCCUGGUGGUAUAUUUUAUUUUUAUACAUUUUGUAUUGUUUUUUUCCACCCAUAUCACUUGAUUUUCUUUGCUUUUUUCUUAUUUUAAGCGUACAAAGUUUCAUUUAUCUUUUCUAUCGAACUUCUUCGAAAUAUAAUCGUCUCUAUUAAUCAUAUUAGACCGAUAACUUAUAUAUUACAAAUAUAUAUACACAUAUUAUAUGUAUACAGGAUGUUCGUAGUCGCGGCAACUAUUUAUUUAUUUAUAUAUAAAAUAUCCUAAUUUUUAUUAGAACAUAGACAUUACAUGUCAACAGACUUACAUAAUCACUCUAUGUAUCGUGUAAUAUCGUAUUAAUUCUUCAUAUUUAUACUAUAUAUAAGAAUUUCUUAUGUAUAUGCAAUUGCAUUGCAAUUCUUUUUUUUUAAUGCUUUUCUCUUUCUUUUUUAUUUCUUUUUUACACUCCCUUUCUCUCAUACAUGACUUUAAGUCCUGUACACACGACUGCUUUUAUUUUUUUAAAUAUAUCGCAUCAAUUCCGUUACGAAACGGAUAAAAAAUAUGCGUAUGUAUUGAAAAUGUAUUGUAUAUUUAUAUAUUCGUGUGUGCACGCAUAUGUAAUGUAAUACGAAGUUCUGUUUAUUAGAAUCUGUUUGUGAUAUAUUUGUAUUUGUCAUCGUUAUUAUAAUAAUACGUAAAAAGCGAAUCGCAUAAAAUCUAAUCAUACGUUUUAUCUCUGCGUAAUUAUAUCCAUAGGAAUUGAAAAAACGUAUACUCCAGCGCAAUGAUAUCGAAAGAUGAUUAAAAAUAGUGAUUGAACCACCUUUCAUUUAAGAUCAGUUCUUUGUUCGGGAAUUCAGUCAGGAAGAAAGUGAACGCGAUCAUAAUUAACAUUAAUUAUGUUUUGUUAUAAAUAUUUAUUAUGAAAUUAUAGUGACAUCUGGGUAUCACAGAAGAGCUCAGUCAAUUUUUCAUAGGAACCACUCCAUAAUAGUCAUAUACUCUUUUUUUUCAUUUUAUUUGAUUUUUGUUAACAUUUUCAUGAUAAUCAUAUACCAAAGAUAGAUAUUUUAUUUUUUAAAUUAUCAAUAUAUUUAAUUAAAAAUAUUUUUUAAUUGUACGCAUUACAAAUAAGAUUAAUAUAAUAAUUUAAUGAGAGAAGAAAAAAUAUUUACAUUCUUAUUCAUUAAAAAUAAACAAUAUUAAAUGGAGUGGUCGCCAAAUUUAUCGUCUUAUUUAGAUGAUUUUUUGUAUUGCUCUUCGUAAACCUUCAUUUUGUUUUCUUAUAUGAGUAUAUAAUAAUAAUAAUAAUAACAAUAAUAAUAAUGAUAAUGAUGAUGAUAAUAAUAAUAAUAAUAAUAAUAACCGCUAUUAUAAUAAUAAAAUAAUAUGUAAAUUCGUAAAAUAGACAUGGAGCUUCGCGAAUAAACGCUGAAUGGUCUUAAAAUGUAAAAUCAUUUUAUAUACUUUUAAAUGAAUGAUUACUAUAAAAAAUUUGUUGUGCUUAUCAUUUGGUAAUCAAACACAACAUUUCACAUUUUUCUACAAAUUAUUUCAUAAUUUAAAGCAUAAUGCACUUUUAGAGCCAGGUAACAAAUACCUUGCAACAAGUAUCAUUGCAACUCGUGUAUAGAUCAGUAUUGAACAAUUAAAUCUUUGAGUAUAUUAAUUAAACUUAUGAUUUUUUUCAUAAUAAAUUUCAUAUAAAUUUAAUAUUAAAAAAAAUUAAUAAAAGGAUAAUAUAUUUAUUAAAAUAUAAUAUUUCUGUUAAAAUAUCAGUAAAGUCUAAAAAGAAAAUUAAAUAUUAAAAUUUUUAUAAAACAAAUCUUUAAAAAAAGAAAAAAAAUUAAAUCGCAAAUUGAAUUAUGCACGAAGAUGCAUGGCUUUAAUUUUUUAACUUGUUGCCGAUAUCUAAAUUUGCACAAAAGGAAGCAUCGUGUGUGCUGGACUAUAUAAUAUUCGAGUUCGAUUUUUCAGACUUAUUCUUAAACUUAUUACUUAUUAUUUUUAUAUAUACAUGUACAUAUACACACAAGAUUAUGUAUGUAUAUGUGAUUGUUAAAAGAAAUGGCUUGUCUCUAAUAACGAUCGAUUUACUUCGUGAAUGUAUCGCAAAACAAAAAAUAUUAGAGGAAAAAAAAGAAUAAGACAAUAAAAUAUAGUCAAUUAUCAUUAAGUGCUGAAAAGAUAUGUUAACAUUUUGAAGCUAAUAACAUUCGAAAAUUUUAAAAUAAUAAAUAUAUAAAAUCUUCAAAACGUAAAAAAGAAAAUACUAAAUUAUUUUUAUGAUCAUGAAAAUAAAAAUAAUUAUCUUUUUAUGAAAAAAAUUUAUGAAAAAAAUUAUUUUCAAAUUUUUUCAAAAUUUCAUAAAAUCUAAAAGAUUAAUCAAGAAUCAUGCAAUUUUCUUAUUUGUUAUAAAUUAUAAUUUUCAUUAUUAUAUAUUUCGAUAAAGUAUUUUUUUCUUUUAUUAAUUAUGAAAUGUCAUUUAAUAUAUUUAUUAAUUAUCAUCUAUUGAAUAUUUUGUUCUUAACAUCCUUAUUGUUUUUUCUGUACAAGAAUAAAAUAAAAUUACGUUAUCAUUUUCCUUCCUAAAAAUAAUCUACAAAGUUGAUACAUAAUUGGAUGAUAAACAAUUCAAUUGACAAAAAUGAAUAACUUCAUUUUGUGAAAUAUUAAUUAAACUUCUUUUAUCUAUGCAUAUGUAACCAAUACUUUCAAAAAUUUCAUAAGAAAAACAAAUUGAAAUACAUAAUACAACUGUAUUAUAAAUUUCACAAAACAAGUAUUAAAUCAUUAUAUAAAUUAUAAAUGCUAAUGUACAGUCACGAAGUUAAUUGGCGUUACUGUUACAUAUUUUUUUCUUUAAAAAUUCUUAACAAUACAAUAGCAAUAUAUAUAACUAUAUUAAAAUUAACGCAAAAUAUAACAAUAGAUUAAGAACAUUGUACUGUUUGAUGAUAUUUUUUGGAGUUUUUUUCAUGCUGUUACGUAAGUUAUAAUGUAAAAAAAGUCAUAACGUACUUUGAUUAUAUAUAUAUAUAUAUAUAAUUUAUAAUAUAUAUAUGUAUAUA